rnacentral:rRNA from 1 species
UACGUAGGGGGCAAGCGUUGUCCGGAAUCAUUGGGCGUAAAGAGCGUGUAGGCGGCCCUGUAAGUCCGUUGUGAAAGUCAAAGGCUCAACCUUUGAAAGCCGAUGGAUACUGCAGGGCUAGAGUCCGGAAGAGGCGAGUGGAAUUCCUGGUGUAGCGGUGGAAUGCGCAGAUAUCAGGAGGAACACCAAUAGCGAAGGCAGCUCGCUGGGACGGUACUGACGCUAAGGCGCGAAAGCGUGGGGAGCGAACAGG